AGCUGCUACUCUUUUAGGCUGAUUACUCUGUCUUUUAAUUUAGUUCUCUAUAUUAUUUCGUGGAUCCAUGUAGUUCAGGAGUUUUUUGUGACUUAGACAAGUGUAGCGCAGGGCAUUUUGUUGCUAUGUUUUAUUCUGUCUAUCUAAUUUUUUAUUCUCUAAUGAAAUUUACUUUACUUAAUUGCUAUAUGGCUAUUUGAUGUGUUGUUCCUUCUAUAAUUCGGUUCGUUGUUUAGAUUGCACACAAGUGUCACAUAAUGUCAUAUCUAGAAUUAGGAUAUGUGGUCUUCUUUCGAGAGUCUGUAGGGCUUGUUUUAUUAACUAGCCCUUUUGUAGAACUCCCUUAUUAAUAUUGAAAUAACUUGUUAGUAUUUUUUUCUAGUAGUUCAAAAAGAACUUCCAUGAUUUUGGUUUUACUUACAUACUAGUUUUUGGGCAUAUUAGUUUUUUUUCUUGACAAGCUGAUAUAAAUUCUUUUAUGUGCUACUAUAAUGGAUAAGAGUUGCAUAAAAAAAAAGAUGGUCAGAUUAAAAUUCAUAUAGGCAAAAGUGGCAUUCCUUUAAUCCCAACAAUCAAAUACUUAUUCUUCACAAGUUACGAAUUGGUAAUAUGUUAUUUUGUUAGCUAAUCUUUUGAAUAAAAGUUCUCUAUUCUUUUUAUUAUAGGUUGAAGAGAUUGCUGGUAAUAUGAUUUUGAAGAGAUCAAGUGCAUCAGAUAAUAGCAGGGAUGGCAAAGGUGCAAGUGCAUUGGAGCAGCAAGGAUUUCAAGCUACCUAGGCUGCCCAACCUCGCACACGACAUCGUCUUCG